rnacentral:rRNA from 1 species
ACGUAGGUGACCUGCCUCGAAGGUGGGGGAUAACCAUUGGAAACGAUGGCUAAUACCGCAUAAGCUGGUGACGAUGGGAAUGGUUAUCAGGAAAGUCUUUAGUGCUUUGAGAGGGGCCUACGGCCGAUUAGCUAGUUGGUGAGGUAAGGCUCACCAAGGCGAUGAUCGGUAGCUGGUCUGAGAGGACGAUCAGCCACACGGGAACUGAGACACGGUCCCGACUCCUACGGGGGGCAGCAGUGAGGAAUAUUCGGCAAUGGGGGCAACCCUGACCGAGCAACGCCGCGUGGAGGAUGACGGUUUUCGGAUUGUAAACUCCUUUUCUCAGGGAAGAGCGAGGACGGUACCUGGGGAAUAAGUCACGGCUAACUACGUGCCAGCAGCCGCGGUAAUACGUAGGUGGCAAGCGUUAUCCGGAAUUACUGGGCGU